rnacentral:rRNA from 1 species
UGCCAGACUCCUACGGGAGGCAGCAGUGGGGAAUAUUGGGCAAUGGGCGCAAGCCUGACCCAGCAACGCCGCGUGAAGGAAGAAGGCUUUCGGGUUGUAAACUUCUUUUAUCAGGGACGAAGCAAGUAACGGUACCUGAUGAAUAAGCCACGGCUAACUACGUGCCAGCAGCCGCGGUAAUACGUAGGUGGCGAGCGUUAUCCGGAUUUACUGGGUGUAAAGGGCGUGUAGGCGGGAAUGCAAGUCAGAUGUGAAGACUAUGGGCUCAACCCAUAGCCUGCAUUUGAAACUGUAUUUCUUGAGUGCUGGAGAGGCAAUCGGAAUUCCGUGUGUAGCGGUGAAAUGCGUAGAUAUACGGAGGAACACCAGUGGCGAAGGCGGAUUGCUGGACAGUAACUGACGCUGAGGCGCGAAAGCGUGGGGAGCAAACAGGAUUAGAUACCCUUGUAGA